CCUACGGGAGGCAGCAGUGGGGAAUAUUGCACAAUGGGCGAAAGCCUGAUGCAGCAACGCCGCGUGAAGGAUGACGGUUUUCGGAUUGUAAACUUCUGUUCUUAGUGAAGAAUAAUGACGGUAGCUAAGGAGCAAGCCACGGCUAACUACGGACCAGCAGCCGCGGUACUACGUAGGUGGGAAGCGUUGUCCGGAAUUACGGGGUGAAAAGGGAUCGGAGGUGGGAAGCCAAGUCAGCGGUGAAAACUACGGGCUUAACUUGAAGACUGCAGUUGAAACUGGUAUUCUGGAGUGAAGUAGAGGUUGGCGGAAGUCGGGGUGUAGCGGUGAAAUGCGUAGAUAUCCGGAGGAACACCGGUGGCGAAGGCGGCCAACUGGGCUUUAACUGACGCUGAGGCUCGAAAGUGUGGGGAGCAAACAGGAUUAGAUACCCCAGUAGUC
rnacentral:rRNA from 1 species